rnacentral:rRNA from 1 species
GACGAACGCUGGCGGCGUGCCUAAUACAUGCAAGUUGAGCGCUGAAGGUUGGUACUUGUACCGACUGGAUGAGCAGCGAACGGGUGAGUAACGCGUGGGGAAUCUGCCUUUGAGCGGGGGACAACAUUUGGAAACGAAUGCUAAUACCGCAUAAAAACUUUAAACACAAGUUUUAAGUUUGAAAGAUGCAAUUGCAUCACUCAAAGAUGAUCCCGCGUUGUAUUAACUAGUUGGUGAGGUAAAGGCUCACCAAGGCGAUGAUACAUAGCCGACCUGAGAGGGUGAUCGGCCACAUUGGGACUGAGACACGGCCCAAACUCCUACGGGAGGCAGCAGUAGGGAAUCUUCGGCAAUGGACGAAAGUCUGACCGAGCAACGCCGCGUGAGUGAAGAAGGUUUUCGGAUCGUAAAACUCUGUUGGUAGAGAAGAACGUUGGUGAGAGUGGAAAGCUCAUCAAGUGACGGUAACUACCCAGAAAGGGACGGCUAACUACGUG